AAUUUUGGACAAAGGGGGAAACACUGAUCCAGCCAUCUCGCGUGUGCGAAGAAGGCCUUCGGGUUGUAAAGUACUUUUGGCAGGGAAGAAACGGCGCCGGAUAAUACUCGGCGUCACUGACGGUACAUGCAGAAAAAGCCCCGGCCAAUUACGUGCCAGAAGCAGCGGUAAUACGUAGGGUGCAAGCGUUAAUCGGAAUUAUUUGGCGUAAGGCGUGCGCAGGCGGUUUGGAAAGAAAGGUGUGAAAUCCCAGAGCUUAACUUUGGAACUGCACUUUUAACUGCCAAGCUAAAGUAUGUCAGAGGGGGGUAGAAUUCCACGUGUAGCAGUGAAAUGCGUAGAGAUGUGGAGGAAUACCGAUGGCGAAGGCAGCCCCCUGGGAUAAUACUGGCGCUCAUGCACGAAAGCGUGGGGAGCAAACAGG
rnacentral:rRNA from 1 species